CUCCGGUACUGCUUGCUUCGGGCGGAUAACCACGUUGUUUCCGUUGAACGUGAGCGCGAGUGAAAUGGAGGUCGGAGUCUUGUUUUUGUUCGGGAUCGGCACAAAUGAGGCAGAUCUGACCAGGGAGCUGGAUAAAAUGGAGCUGAAGAAGCCUAAUGCAGAGAUAUUGAUGGCUUUUAGCUUCUCACCACAUCAGUUCAGAUGUCUCCAUCAGCAGUCCCUCACUUUCCACAGAGAGGAGCGGCUGGUUGAAACAAGACUGCGAAACUCCAGAUGACACUACAUCUCAUCUGGACCAACAGAACUGGAAAGUCUGUGCUGCUGUCAGCCAUAGAGGUGAUGCAGAAAUGUGCCCAGAGAAGAUGGUCCUGCAGUGUGUCAGCGUCCGUCCACUUGGAGUGUUUGGAGCCAGAGAGAGGCGUGCGCCUGGCUGCAAAGAACUACAAGCACCCUCAAAAUACUACCAGCAGAUGGCACUGACUUUAAUUUGUGCCAUGUGGUACAGGAAGCUGCUCUACUUCAGAAGGGCCUGCAAAUCAGGAGUGCUCCAACCAGAGCUUUUUUCCUUAAACGAUUUCAUACAAACCGAGGAACCGCCUCUACCUGGAGCCCAGAUGCCAGAAGGAGCCGUUGGAUGUGGACAUGGAAGAAGGAUGAGGAAGGCCAUUUGUCUUUACAGGCUGACGGACAAGCGAUUACAGAAAACUGAUUUCUACUGAAGGUAUUUGAAAAAGGCUGAUUGCGUGGCCACUGCCUUGUACACCUGCGCUGGGCUGUACAGGAGCACAGGACUCACUGACCAGGCUAAUGGACUCACUGACCAGGCUAAUGUUCAUGCAUUAACACUGUUGUCAGUAAGAAAGUCAUUCCAUCUUUUGUCAAAAAACCCAAACUGUCCCUUUAAAGAUGACCUACAAGUCUGGUCGGUACAGAGAAAGCUUUGAUGAGCGCCGGCAACACAACACAUCUUAAUUAUUUUUAAUGUCCCUCGUGGUUUAAAUUGUUUUUUUUUGUUUUUUUAUCAAACCUUACACUUGUUCCUGCAGCUAAAGUAAUAUCACAAGGCUUGUCUUCAUUAUUGGCCUCCUUCACAUCAAUACUAUCAAGCGGAUUCAUCAUGGCUCAGACUGUUCGGAAGGACUACUUGGCAUUCUGUCCUAAACCAAGAUGAACCACAUCAGUUCAUGCUGAGUUGGCAGAGGUUUGUUCUGUCAGAACAGUCAGCUUCAGAGGUUUGUUCUGUCAGAACAGUCCCGGCUUCAGAGGUUUGUUCUGUCAGAAUAGUCCCGGCUUCAGAGGUUUGUUCUGUCAGAACAGUCCUGGCUUCAGAGGUUUGUUCUGUCAGAAUAGUCCUGGCUUCAGAGGUAUGUUCUGUCAGAACAGUCUCGGCUUCAGAGGUUUGUUCUGUCAGAAUAGUCCCGGCUUCAGAGGUUUGUUCUGUCAGAACAGUCUCGGCUUCAGAGGUUUGUUCUGUCAGAAUAGUCCUGGCUUCAGAGGUUUGUUCUGUCAGAAUAGUCCUGGCUUCAGAGGUUUGUUCUGUCAGAACAGUCCCGGCUUCAGAGGUUUGUUCUGUCAGAACAGUCCCGGCUUCAGAGGUUUGUUCUGUCAGAAUAGUCCUGGCUUCAGAGGUAUGUUCUGUCAGAACAGUCUCGGCUUCAGAGGUUUGUUCUGUCAGAACAGUCCCAGCUUCAGAAGCUCAGCAUGUUUGAGUAUUGCAUGGAACAUUUUGAAGUGGUAGAGAUAUGGAGUUAUGUCAUGACUCACAUGAAUCCAGAACAUCAGGCCAGUGUGUUUCAGCUUAUCUGUUUUAACAACCUGCAGCAGUGAUGAACUUUUUAUUAUGUUUGACAUGAUGGCUUUUUUUUUACUCCUGUCAUAACAAGAAUUAAA